rnacentral:tRNA from 1 species
UGUAUUGUAGCUCAGUGAUGGAGCACUUGCCUCCCAUGUAUGAGACACUGAGUUUGAUCCUCAGCACCCCAU